rnacentral:tRNA from 3 species
GCCCAAGUGAUGAAACUGGUAGACGUAGCAGACUCAAAAUCUGCCGGUGUAACAGCCGUGCCGGUUCGAGUCCGGCCUUGGGCACCA